rnacentral:rRNA from 1 species
GACAGCGGGUGCAAGCGUUGUCCGGAGUUACUGGGCGUAAAGGGCGCGGAGGCGGUCUGCGGCGUCGGCGCUGAAAGCGCCCCGCUUAACGGGGCGAGGCGUGCCGAUACGCGCAGACUUGAGGCGAGCAGAGGGUGGUGGAAUUCCGGGUGGAGCGGUGAAAUGCGUAGAGAUCCGGAGGAACGCCAGUGGGGAAGCCGGCCACCUGGGCUCGUCCUGACGCUGCGGCGCGACCGCGUGGGGAGCAAACCGG